rnacentral:ncRNA from 1 species
UUAUCAAUAUAUUAGUUGAAGUAUGUAUGAAGCAGUUAUAUUCGGUAAAGCGAAUGGUAAGAGGAAUUGUGGGACGAAAUGUCUUCAACCAAUUUUCAAACUUUCAAUGAGUAUGACGUCUCGUUUGCUUGAAUGAAGCAUAGGUAUUGAAUGUGUGCUCGAAGUGGACGAUUUUUGGUAAACAGAACUGGAGCGCUAUGGGAUGAACCA